rnacentral:rRNA from 1 species
UUGCUUCUUUGCUGACGAGUGGCGGACGGGUGAGUAAUGUCUGGGAAACUGCCUGAUGGAGGGGGAUAACUACUGGAAACGGUAGCUAAUACCGCAUAACGUCGCAAGACCAAAGAGGGGGACCUUCGGGCCUCUUGCCAUCGGAUGUGCCCAGAUGGGAUUAGCUAGUAGGUGGGGUAACGGCUCACCUAGGCGACGAUCCCUAGCUGGUCUGAGAGGAUGACCAGCCACACUGGAACUGAGACACGGUCCAGACUCCUACGGGAGGCAGCAGUGGGGAAUAUUGCACAAUGGGCGCAAGCCUGAUGCAGCCAUGCCGCGUGUAUGAAGAAGGCCUUCGGGUUGUAAAGUACUUUCAGCGGGGAGGAAGGGAGUAAAGUUAAUACCCUUGCUCAUUGACGUUACCCGCAGAAGAAGCACCGGCUAACUCCGUGCCAGCAGCCGCGGUAAUACGGAGGGUGCAAGCG